UCUGAAGGAGAUUAAAGAUUUAUCGGUGAUGGAUGGGGAUGCGUCUGAUUAGCUUGUUGGCGGGGUAACGGCCCACCAAGGCUACGAUCAGUAGGGGUUCUGAGAGGAAGGUCCCCCACAUUGGAACUGAGACACGGUCCAAACUCCUACGGGAGGCAGCAGUGAGGAAUAUUGGUCAAUGGACGAGAGUCUGAACCAGCCAAGUAGCGUGCAGGAAGACGGCCCUAUGGGUUGUAAACUGCUUUUAUAAGGGAAUAAAGUGAGUCUCGUGAGACUUUUUGCAUGUACCUUAUGAAUAAGGACCGGCUAAUUCCGUGCCAGCAGCCGCGGUAAUACGGAAGGUCCGGGCGUUAUCCGGAUUUAUUGGGUUUAAAGGGAGCGUAGGCCGGAGAUUAAGCGUGUUGUGAAAUGUAGACGCUCAACGUCUGCACUGCAGCGCGAACUGGUUUCCUUGAGUACGCACAAAGUGGGCGGAAUUCGUGGUGUAGCGGUGAAAUGCUUAGAUAUCACGAAGAACUCCGAUUGCGAAGGCAGCUCACUGGAGCGCAACUGACGCUGAAGCUCGAAAGUGCGGGUAUCGAACAGGAUUAGAUACCCUGGUAGUCCGCACGGUAAACGAUGGAUGCCCGCUGUUGGUCUGAAUAGGUCAGCGGCCAAGCGAAAGCAUUAAGCAUCCCACCUGGGGAGUAC
rnacentral:rRNA from 1 species